CUUUUCGAGGUAGGAGUCGACUCCUGUGAGGUAUGGUGCUGGGUGCAGAUGCAGUGUGGCUCUGGAUAGCACCUUAUGGACAGUUGUGUCCCCAAGGAAGGAUGAGAAUAGCUACUGAAGUCCUAAAGAGCAAGCCUAACUCAAGCCAUUGGCACACAGGCAUUAGACAGAAAGCUGGAAGUUGAAAUGGUGGAGUCCAACUUGCCUGGACCAGCUUAAUGGUUCUGCUCCUGGUAACGUUUUUAUCCAUGGAUGACUUGCUUGGGUAAGGACAUGAAGACAGUUCCUGUCAUACCUUUUAAAGGUAUGGAGAGUCGGCUUGACUACACUGUGUGGAGCAAGUUUUAAAGAAGCAAAGGCAGACCUGUUAUCCUAAACUAGGGUUUUUAAUGACCACAACAAGCAAGCAUGCAGCUUACUGCUUGAAAGGGUCUUGCCUCACCCAAGCUAGAGUGCAGUGGCCUUUGAAGCUUACUACAGCCUCAAACUUCUGGGCUCAAGUGAUCCUCAGCCUCCCAGUGGUCUUUGUAGACUGCCUGAUGGAGUCUCAUGGCACAAGAAGAUUAAAACAGUGUCUCCAAUUUUAAUAAAUUUUUGCAAUCCA
rnacentral:lncRNA from 1 species